AACUAAGAAUACUAGACAAGCUUUCCAUUAACCAGUGAGACGGUGGGGGAUAAGCUUCAUCGUCGAGAGGGAAACAGCCCAGAUCACCAGCUAACGCCCCUAAAUGACCGCUAAGUGGUAAAGGAGGUGAGAAUGCUGAAACAACCAGGAGGUUUGCUUAGAAGCAGCCACCCUUUAAAGAGUGCGUAAUAGCUCACUGGUGGAGCGUUCUUGCGCCGAAAAUGAACGGGACUAAGCGGUCUGCCGAAGCUGUGGGAUUCCAGAAAAAUUAACUUAUUAUGUGCGCAGCACUUUUAAGUUGGACUGGAAUCGGUAGGGGAGCGUUCCGCUCUAGGGUGAAGCAUCGAUGUAAAUUGGUGUGGACAAAGCGGAAGUGAGAAUGUCGGCUUGAGUAACGAAAACAUUGGUGAGAAUCCAAUGCCCCGAAAACCUAAGGGUUCCUUUACUAGGUUCGUCCAUGAAGGGUUAGUCAGGACCUAAGGCCAGACCGAAAGGUGUAGUCGAUGGAGAACAGGUUAAUAUUCCUGUACUGAUUUUUGAAUUGUACCGAGGGACGAAGGAGGCAAUAACUAACUAAUAAUGGAUUUUAGUGGAAGCGUUCGAGGUGUUGAUGGGUAGAAGAAAAACUAACCUUGAGCUGAGACGCGAUACGGUUUUAUUCCCUAAGUAGCUUUUUGUUUCUGAUAAAAGGUUAUUUAUAAUAAAACUUAGUUGAUUGUCAAACUUCCUAGAAAAGCUCGAACUACGUGUGUUCAAAAAUCACCUGUACCCGAAACCGACACAGGUAGGUGGGUAGAGUAUACCUAGGGGCGCGAGAUAACUCUCUCUAAGGAACUCGGCAAAAUGGCCCCGUAA
rnacentral:rRNA from 1 species